rnacentral:rRNA from 1 species
CAGAAGCUGGCGGCGUGGCUAAUACAUGCAAGUCGAACGGACCCGUUAAUUUAUUAGCGGGUUAGUGGCGCAAGGGUGAGUAAUGGAUAGGUAACGUGCCCCGAGCUCCGGGAUAGCGUCCCGAAAGGGGCGGUAAUACCGGAUAAUAUCGCCGGCCGAUGGGUCGGCGAUCAAAGAUUUAUCGGCGCGGGCGCGGCCUAUCUCCUAUCAGCUAGUUGGUGAGGUAACGGCCCACCAAGGCGAAGACGGGUAGCGGGACUGAGAGGUUGGCCCGCCACAUCGGGACUGAGACACUGCCCGGACCCCCACGGGGGGCUGCAGUAACGAAUCUUGGGCAAUGGGCGAAAGCCUGACCCAGCGACGCCGCGUACGGGAGGAAGCCCUUCGGGGUGUAAACCGUUGUCAGGACUAAGAAAGUCCGCUUCGGCGGAUUGAUCAAGUCCAGAGGAAGUCACGGCUAACUCUGUGCCAGCAGCCGCGGUAAGACAGAGGUGGCUAGCGUUGUUCGGUAUCACUGGGCUUAAAGCGUGUGUAGGCGGAAGCGUAAGCAUUUUGUGAAAUCCCCCGGCUCAACCGGGGAAUCGCUUGAUGUACUGCGCUUCUUGAGGCAAGUAGGGGUGCAUGGAACUCUUGGUGGAGCGGUGGAAUGCGUAGAUAUCAAGAGGAACGCCGGUGGAGAAGUCGGUGCACUGGGCUUGUCCUGACGCUGAGACACGAAAGCGUGGGGAGCGAACGGGAUUAGAUACCCCGGUAGUCCACGCCGUAAACGAUGCCUACUAGGUUGUGGCGGUUCUGACGCCGGCACAGCCGAAGCCAAAGUGUUAAGUAGGCCGCCUGGGGAGUACGGUCGCAAGGCUAAAACUCAAAGGAAUUGACGGGGGCUCACACAAGCGGUGUAGCAUGUGGAUUAAUUCGAAGCAACGCGCAGAACUUUACCUGGGUUUGACAUGCUUGGAUGCCCGCCUGGAAACAGGUUUGGGUUGCCCUUCGGGGUGAAACUUGCACAGGUGCUGCAUGGCUGUAGUCAGCUCGUGUCGUGAGAUGUCGGGUUAAGUCCCUUAACGAGCGAAACCCUUGCCGGUAGUGGCAGCGGUCAUGCCGGACUCUAAGGGACCGCUGGUGUUAAACCGGAGGAAGGUGGGGAUGACGUCAAGUCAUCAUGGCCUUUAUGCCCAGGGCAUCACACGUGCUACAAUGGCCGGUACAGAUCGACGCGAGACCGUGAGGUGGAGCCAAUCGCAAAAAGCCGGCUCCAGUUCGGAUUGCAGGCUGGCAACUCGCCUGCAUGAAGGUGGAAUCGCUAGUAAUCGCGAUCCAGCGAUGCCGCGGUGUAAUGUUGCGUGACCCU